UGCGUAGGCGGAUUAAUAAGUCAGUGGUGAAAACCUGCAGCUUAACUGUAGAACUGCCAUUGAUACUGUUAGUCUUGAGUACGGUCAAGGUAGGCGGAAUGUGUAAUGUAGCGGUGAAAUGCUUAGAUAUUACACAGAGCACCGAUUGCGAAGGCAGCUUACUGGGCCAUUACUGACGCUGAGGCACGAAAGCGUGGGGAGCGAACAGGAUUAGAUACCCUGGUAGUCC
rnacentral:rRNA from 1 species